UACGUAGGGUGCAAGCGUUGUCCGGAAUUAUUGGGCGUAAAGGGUGCGUAGGCGGGUCUUUAAGUCAGGGGGGAAAUCCUGGAGCUCAACUCCAGAACUGCCUUUGAUACUGAAGAUCUUGAGUUCGGGAGAGGUGAGUGGAACUGCGAGUGUAGAGGUGAAAUUCGUAGAUAUUCGCAAGAACACCAGUGGCGAAGGCGGCUCACUGGCCCGAUACUGACGCUGAGGCACGAAAGCGUGGGGAGCAAACAGG
rnacentral:rRNA from 1 species